ensembl:lncRNA
CCUAACCGUGAAGCACGGGGGUGGCAUUAUCAUGUUGUUGGGGUGCUUUGCUGCAGGAGGGACUGGUGCACUUCACAAAAUAGAUGGCUUCAUUAGGGAGGAAAAUUCUGUGGAUAUAUUGAAGCAACAUCUCAAGACAUCGGUCAGGAAGUUAAAGCUUGGUCACAAAUGGACAAUGACCCCAAGCAUACUUCUAAAGUUGUGGCAAAAUGGCUUAAGGACAACAAAGUCAAGGUAUUGGAGUGGCCAUCACAAAGCCCUGACCUCAAUCCUAUAGAAAAUUUGUGGGCAGAACUGAAAAAGGUGUGUGCGAGCAAGGUGGCCUACAAACCUUACACCAGCUCCAUCAGAAGGAAUGGGCCAACAUUCACCCAACUUAAUGUGGGAAGCUUGUGGAAGGCUACCCAAAACGUUUGACUCUAGUUAAACAAUUUAAAGGCAAUGCUACCAAAUACUAAUUGAGUGUAUGUAAACUUCCGACCCACUGACAAUGUGAUGAAGUAAUUAAUAGCUUAAUAAUUAAUAGCUUAAAUAAAUCUCUACUAUUAUUCUGACAUUUCACAUUCUUAAAAUAAAGUGGUGAUCCUAACUGACCUAAGACACAGAAUUUUACUUGAAUUAAAUGUCAGAAAUUGUGAAAAACUGAGUUUAAAUGUAUUUCUCUAAGGUGUAUGUAAACGUCUGACUUCAACUGCACAUAUGAUAUGAGUAAUGGAAGAUAUGUAAACAUUUAAGUGGUAUUGUUGAAAGUAACUGAUCUAUUUAUUAUAGUGGCCAGUGAUUGGGUCUCAAUGUAGACAGCAGCCUCUCUGACUUAGUGAUUGCUGUUUAGUAGUCUGAUGGCCUUGAGAGAGAAGCUGUUUUUCAGUCUCUAAGGUCCCAGCUUUGAUGCACCUGUACUGACCUUGCUGUCUGAUCUUGAUGAUCUUGUUGGCCUUCCUGUGACAUCGGAUGCUGUAGGUGUCAUGGAGGGCAGGUAGUUUGCCCCGGGUGAUGUGUUGUGCAGACCGCACCACCUUCUGGGGAGCCUUGUGGUUGAGGGCGGUGCAGUUGCGGUACCAGGCUGUAGUCCAGCCCGACAGUAUACUCUCAAUUGUGCAUAUGUAAAAGUUUGUCAGGGUUUUGGGUGACAAGCCAAAUUUCUUCAGCCCCCUGAGGUUGAAGAGGCGCUGUUGCGCCUUCUUCACCACACUGUGUGUGUGAGUGGACCAUUUUCAGGUUGUCUGUGAUGUGUACGCCAAGGAAUUCUCCACCUUCUCCACUACUGUCCCUUCGAUGUGGAUAGGGGGGUGCUCCCUCUUCUGUUUCCUGAAGUCCUCGAUCAUUUUGUUUUGUUGACGUUGAGUGAGGUUGUUUUCCUGACACCACACUCCGAAUGACCUCCCAUCCUUCCUGUAGGCUGUCUCGUUGUUGUUGGUAAUCAUGCCCACUACUGUUGGGUCGUCUGCAAACUAAAAGAUUUAAUUUGAGGCGUGCAGUCCUUUUUAGCUGGCCGUGAUGGUGGUGCUGUAUUAUCCUCAAAGCGGGCAAAGAAGGUGUUUAGUUUGUCUGGAAGCGUGACAUCGUUGUCCGUGACAUGGCUGUUUUACUUUUUGUAGUCUCUGAUUUCCUGUAGACCCUGCCACAUUCAUCUCGUGUCUGAACCGUUGAAUUCCGACUCUACUUUGUCUCUGUACUGGCAUUUCUCUUGUUUGAAUGCCUUGCGGAGGGAAUAACUACACUGUUAAUUUUCAGGCAUAUUCGCAAACCUCUUCAAGGUUAAAUGCGGUGGUUUGUGCUUUCAGUUUUGCACGAAUUCCGCCAUCAAUCCACGGUGUCUGGUUAGGAUAGGUUCUAAUAGUCAGUGGGUACAACAUCUCAAAUGCACUUCUUUAUAAACUCACUCAUUGAGUCAGCGGAUAGAUCGAUGAUAUCUGAGGCUGACCGGAACAUAUCCCAGUCCGCGUGAUCAAAACAAUCUUGAAGCGUGGAUUCUGAUCGGUCUGACCAGUCUUGAAUGGUUCUAGUCAUUGGUACAUCCUGUUUGAGUUUCUGCCUAUAGGAGCAAGAUAGCGUCGUGGUUGGAUUUGCCGAAGGGAGGGCUUUGUAUGCAUUGCGGAAGUUAGUAGCAGUGAUUGAAUGUUUUACACCUGCGCGUAGUGCAAUCAAUAUGCUUAUAGAAUUUAGGUAUCCUUGUUCUCAAAUUUGCUUUGUUAAAAUCCACAGCUACAAUAAAUGCAGCUUCAGGAUAUAUGGUUUCCAGUUUACAUAGAGUCCAGUGAAGUUCCAGGAAGGGCUGUCUUGGUGUCUAUUUGAGGGGGAAUGUACACAGCUGUGACGAUAACUGAUGAGAAUUCUCUUUGGGAAGUAAUAUGGCCGGCAUUUGAUUGUAAGGAAUUCUAGGUCGGGUGAAUAGAAGGACUUGAGUUCCUGUAUGUUUUUAUGAUUACACCAUGAGCCAUUAAUCAUGACGCAUACACUCCUGCAUACACUCUUUGUUGGCGCGAUGCACAGAGAAGCCCGGUGGCUGAACCGAUUCCGACAACAUAUCCUGAGAGAGCCAUGUACCUGUGAAACAGAGAAUGUUACAAUCUCGGUCUCUCUGGAAGGCAACCCUUGCUCGAAUUUCAUCUACCUUGUUGUCAAGAGACUGGAGAUUGGCGAGUAAUAUACUCGGGAGCAGUGGGCGACGUGCACGUCUACGGAGCCUGACCAGGAGGCUGCCCCUUCUUGUUUUGGGUCGGCUUCUGGGAUUAGAUCCAUUAUCCUGGGUGGUGGUCCAAACACAGGAUCCGCUUCGAGAAAGUCGUAUUCCUUGUCGUAAUGUUGGUAAGUUGACGUCACUCUUAUAUUCAAUAGUUCUUCCCGGCUGUAUGUAAUAAGAUCUAAGAUUUCCUGGGGUAACAAUGUAAGAAAUAAUACAUAACAAAAUACUGCAUAGUUUCCUAAGGACUCGGAAGCGAUCAUCUCUGUCGGCACCAUUUUGUUUUUGGUUGCAGGUUCAGGAACCGCUGAAGAAUUGCAACUUUUACCUGGAGCUAACUCUGCAAAUAGCACUGCUGGGUGAUUUUUAAAAAGUCAUAGUCAAUUAAUUGAAUAAUACUUUUAGCAAUGUUUCUUUAAUUUACAGUAUGUAGAAUCUAUGAGAAUAGAAAGGUUCAGAACCUUUGUAAAACAGCAAAGUUUUUUUAUAUAUAUAUAUGGAAACUAGAAAUCAACUGGAUGGUGUUCAUAGAUCGAUGGAACGGGUUGAGUGGAGCUGAAGGAUGGGACUAAAAACAAACAAAAGAUAACUAUUGUAAAAUAUACUGUGUCUGUGAAAUGUAUGUAUAAGCUGGAAGUAGAAGCCUAAGUGUUGUCCAUUUAGUUUACUCCAGUUAAGGGUGGGGUGGUAGCGUUAGGGGAAAAUAAUAAAAUAACAUCUAUUUUAAAAAGAUAUAAUUAUAAUGUUGGAUUGGAAAUAAUGCACACUAUUACAUUGAUGGAAGCCACAAUCUAUCUGUAAUUUUGAAGCUGAUCUACCCCCUGAUUUGUGUAUAUAUAUUAUAUAUUUUUUUAUUAUUAUAAUAGCUAGCUAGUGUUUAACAUUACUUGCUAACACUAAUAUCUAACUUCCACAGAUUAAAGGUGUUAUCAAAAAUGUUGCUAAUACACUAGCUAAUAGUAAAUUAGUCUUAAGUGCAAUAUGCAGAAAUCACAACGCCAUUACCUGGUUGCUAAAAUUCUAAUAGUUAGCCUAAUAUCUGUUUGUGACAAAGCAUACAAUGUAUAGUGUAGAGAAUAAUUGUACCAUCUAAACCGCUGUGAAAUAUAUUUCAAAAACCCAAACAUUUUAUUUUCAGCUGUUUUGAAGUUGGUGUACAAAACCGAAAGUAAAAGACGCGAAAAUGAAACUUAAGAACAGGAAUCAUAAAAUGACCUCCGAUAUACAGCUUCUUAGACUUGCUUUCAAUGGGGGAUUGGAACUUGUUGGGGAGAGUAUCUUAGAAGAGGUACAUAUUCAUUGAACCAUUGUGGGGGAAAAUCUGGCUAACCAUCCUUUUCAUAUUCCGGAUGCUCGUACUUGGUGUGGCAGCAGAGGAUGUUUGGGACGAUGAGCAGUGAGUUUGUAUGCAACACGGACAAGCCUGGGUCGCCCAAAUCUCCCCAAAAAUUGCAUAUUGCAGCUUUACAAUUGGAGCCAUGUGUGCUGACAAAGGAUGCAAGCUAGCUCAUUUAUCAUCUACCUAGCUAGGGACAACUCGCUAACUAGCGUGUUAAUCCAAAAACGCUAGCUAAACAAAUUCCAGGGAAAUUCUGCCAAGUUGAUGUUAGCUAGCGGCUACAGUUUGCCUGCUAUAGCGAAGCUAACUAUCCAUCAAGCGUGACCUACUUAGCUAGCUAACUAUAUUAUGCCAAAUAUUAUCUUGUCCUAAAUCGUCUAGCAGAACGUUUUACCUAAUGCUAACUAGCUAACAUUUCCUAGCUAGCUAGGACAGACGUGCUAGCAAGAUAGCUAGCUACUUUGCUAGCUGAGCAGUUUGCUAAAUCAUCCAGCAGAACUUCUGUAUCAAAACGUGAAACUAAUUGCAUAGAUAAUUUAUCCUCUCUCUGUCGUCAUUUCCAUCUUGUGAACAGUUUUAUUUCGCGCAAUAUUUUCCUGGGCUUUGCACACGACGCACUGUAAUGUCAGUGUCAACACAUUCUGGGCAUGUCCCAUGUUGUCUUUAUAAGUGUGUUUCACAGAUGGGCAGAUCUCACAAAAUUGGGCAGUUCUCCGAAACCAGCGAACCAAUAAUAUGGCUUGAGAUGUUCUGACGAGGCCUUCAUUCCUGGAAUAAAUAAGUGUACCAAUCCAUCAUCAUUGUUUCAAAUGUGGGGCAUGACACAUCAUGGGAGUUGACCAUUGGUGUGAAAGCCAACCAUUUCUGUUCCUGGGACAGAACAACAAUGUAUCACACCAAAAAAUUGCGAAGCGAUUUUCCCAACUGAUGAAGCUUUUUAAGAAGAAGGAGAAGAUGGCAAACUGACUUCUGAAUGUUUUUUUUAUUCGAUGAAGAUUUCACUUACCAGGCUCCUUAUACUCUCAGACGUUUCAAGGUCAAGACUUGAAUGUCCCAUUUGAUGAAUGAGUGGAAGCAGAUCUGAAUGUGAUGCCUGUAAUUAAUGGACUUGGAACUAAUGAACACAGUCAACUAGAACUCCAACUGAAAUGUGUUUUUGUGCUGUGGUCAGUAAGGAUCUGAAUAUCCAUGAGGUAAAAUCCACACAGGCGUCAAUAUUCAAUAUUAUCGCCCCACAGCCAAAAUGAAUACAACUUGUAUAAACUGUUUUGAUACGUCUGUUGAUUUAGCAGACUUAAAUGCACUGCAUUUUUUCCCUUCCCUUUUUGUGUUUAAUCUACCAUAUUGAUCCUGGGCAAUAUCCCAUCUCAACUUCACAACUCUUAAUAUGCCUUAGCAAGGUUAUACCAUAUGAGGAGUUAAACACUUCUGCAAUCAUACAUUUAAUCAAGUAAUUAACCAAUUUUAGUUGUAAAUAACAGAAUGGUGAAUGACCUCUAAUGCUUUUAUGGAGCAUUGCAGCCUGUGCUGCUUGUACAAAAUUUGUACUAAAGUUACGUGUGCUUUUCUACUUCAACAUAAUCUGGGAGUGUUUGGAAAUAAAGAUUGGAACUACAAUUAAAAGUGACCUUUACUCUGUCACAUGGCAGAAAGUGCAUUUUACUGUAUUAUAUAUUGCAUUGACUUAAAGAUGUUCAGUUAAAUGAAAAAAUAAGCCACAUAUGUUCCAUUUUAGGUAUGAUUCAAGGUCUUACGUUUAUAGAAAUGAAGGAUUUGACCAAGUACACAUUUCUUGACUGCUUAGAUUUUUAUUUGGUUGAUUUUGGUUUUGGAUGAUUGUGAAUAAGUGACAUGGUUAAGAAAUAUACAUUGUGUAGCCUAUAUUGUACAUAUUUUGGUUUUGAAAAUAAAGUUUAUUUAUUUAACAUG